rnacentral:rRNA from 1 species
GACGAACGCUGGCGGCGUGCUUAACACAUGCAAGUCGAACGAUGAAGCCGGAGCUUGCUCUGGUGAAUUAGUGGCGAACGGGUGAGUAACACGUGAGUAACCUGCCCUUGACUCUGGGAUAACUGCGGGAAACUGUAGCUAAUACCGGAUACGACCCUCGGAGGCAUCUCCUGGGGGUGGAAAGAAUUUCGGUCAAGGAUGGACUCGCGGCCUAUCAGCUAGUUGGUGAGGUAAAGGCUCACCAAGGCGACGACGGGUAGCCGGCCUGAGAGGGGGACCGGCCACACUGGGACUGAGACACGGCCCAGACGCCGACGGGAGGCAGCAGUGGGGAAUAUUGCACAAUGGGCGCAAGCCUGAUGCAGCAACGCCGCGUGAGGGAUGACGGCCUUCGGGUUGUAAACCUCUUUUAGCAGGGAAGAAGCGAAAGUGACGGUACCUGCAGAAAAAGCACCGGCUAACUACGUGCCAGCAGCCGCCGCAG